UACGGAGGGUGCAAGCGUUGCUCGGAAUUAUUGGGCGUAAAGGGUAGGUAGGUGGUCUCGUUUGUCAGGGGUGAAAGCCUUGGGCUUAACUCAAGAAGUGCCCCUGAAACGGCGAGACUCGAGUACUGGAGAGGGUCGUGGAAUUCCCGGUGUAGCGGUGAAAUGCGUAGAGAUCGGGAGGAACACCAGAGGCGAAGGCGGCGACCUGGACAGUGACUGACACUCAACUACGAAAGCGUGGGGAGCAAACAGG
rnacentral:rRNA from 1 species